UGGGGAAUAUUGGACAAUGGGCGAAAGCCUGAUCCAGCCAUGCCGCGUGUGUGAAGAAGGUCUUCGGAUUGUAAAGCACUUUAAGUUGGGAGGAAGGGCAGUAAGUUAAUACCUUGCUGUUUUGACGUUACCAACAGAAUAAGCACCCGGCUAACUUCGUGCCAGCAGCCGCGGUAAUACGAAGGGUGCAAGCGUUAAUCGGAAUUACUGGGCGUAAAGCGCGCGUAGGUGGUUCAGCAAGUUGGAUGUGAAAUCCCCGGGCUCAACCUGGGAACUGCAUCCAAAACUACUGAGCUAGAGUACGGUAGAGGGUGGUGGAAUUUCCUGUGUAGCGGUGAAAUGCGUAGAUAUAGGAAGGAACACCAGUGGCGAAGGCGACCACCUGGACUGAUACUGACACUGAGGUGCGAAAGCGUGGGGAGCAAACAGGAUCAGAUACCCUGGUAGUCCACGCCGUAAACGAUGUCGACUAGCCGUUGGGAUCCUUGAGAUCUUAGUUGCGCAGCUAACGCGAUAAGUCGACCGCCUGGGGAGUACGGCCGCAAGGUUA
rnacentral:rRNA from 1 species